rnacentral:tRNA from 1 species
GUUCGUAUAGCUCAGUAGGAUAGAGCGGUCGCCUCCUAAGCGACAGGCCGUUGGUUCGAAUCCAAUUACGAACGCCA